UACGUAGGGGGCUAGCGUUGUCCGGAAUCAUUGGGCGUAAAGCGCGUGUAGGCGGCCCGGUAAGUCCGCUGUGAAAGUCGGGGGCUCAACCCUCGGAUGCCGGUGGAUACUGUCGGGCUCGAGUGCGGAAGAGGCGAGUGGAAUCCUGGUGUAGCGGUGAAAUGCGCAGAUAUCAGGAGGAACACCAAUUGCGAAGGCAGCUCGCUGGGACGUUACUGACGCUGAGACGCGAAAGCGUGGGGAGCAAACAGG
rnacentral:rRNA from 1 species